ensembl:lncRNA
CAUAUUUAUUGUGUAGGCAUCACUAUGGUUUCUAGCUCUGUAGAAGCUGAGCUCGCCACUAUGAUAGUUUUCAGACUUAGUCCUGUUGAGGACUAAGCUCAAAGCUAUAGUCCGUAAUACCUUCUUGAGAGGUAGGGAAUCAUAAUAAGAAUUAAAGGUAAUUUCCAUUUUAAUUCCAAGUUACUUGGAAUUGUGUUGUGUGAAUCCUAACAAAAUAAUUGGUGAGAUUUAGAGGUUCAGCUUGAAUACUUACCCAUUGCUGCUCACACAGCCUAGGUUUGCAAAGCAGUGGUGCCUUUUACAAUUCUUGAUUUUUUAGCUGAAUUGAGAUCAUUUCUCCCAUUUCCCCCCAGCUCCAUUUUAAAUCCAGGCAAGACGUAACACUUGUUUCUUACUCCUAAUUCACGCAUAUUCCUACCUGUCCUCAUCCUGUCAUUGAUUGCCUCUUCUCCACAACAGCAAACACUUAUAGAGUCCUCCAGUGUUAUGGAACCCACAAAGAUGAUUAUUUAUUUCCUGCACCAACUCAUUCCCUCCUGUCUGGACCCUGCCAGUGAUGGCAGCCUCCACUCUCAUUAACCAAAUUUUCCUGGAAAUACCUUUUUGCUAUUAGUGGAUUGUUCCUUACAUUUCAGAGGUGUUUCCCACAAAGUCUGUACAGCACAACCAUUUUUAUAUAUUCCUUCCACCCUCACCUUGAAGCUCACUUAUGUUGUAACGCUGAUAAAACACCUGACAGUAGGUUUUGUAUUGUGACUUGUCCUUUUUAUGCUAAUGAUAAUAAUUUCCCUGUUAUCUGAUGCUCCUCCGUUGUGUUGUGUUCACCUCUUGUUCCUUGUCUUGUUCACAGAGCCUCCCUGAAAAUUCAUUUAACUCAAUGGAAAGACUCCCACUGCUUUCAAAACCUUUGGACCAAGUUCCUCGAUGCUAAGGUCGUUCCAUUUUACAGGAAGUUAUGAGCACAACAGAGAGUCUGUCCAAGCAAGUCAUACAUCUGACAAGGGUGCUUAUCACGGUGUGGGGAUGGAGACUGUGCAGGCCCUGGGUCACAGUGGGCGCAGAGCCGUGCCACCGCACACAUCCCCAAGAACCCGCGGAGCUGACAGGGGCCGGAUGGUUGUGACAAACGCCCAGCAGCCCCUUCUCCGCCGCAUCUUUACACCCUGUGAGGAGACGCUGUUUCCUGAGCUGUGCACCUGCUCCUAAUGCCAUUAUUCACAGCAGAUUGACUGGGGUUCAGUGCAAAUUGCAGCGGGUCAAUCAAGGAGGAACGCCACUGUUGUGCCCAUUGUCCACCUACUAUCAAGUCCUCCUGUGCGUGCACAUAUGUGUGUGUGUGUGUUUUCUUUCAAAGCCUGAGCAUUCCUGGGGGUGGGAGGGAAGGAGGAAGGGAGGCAGCAGCUCUUCAGAAAGGCUGCUUCAUCUGUGAAGUUUACAAAAUACCAUCAGUAUUGCUGAACUAAUGAAUAACAAGAAUGUGUUGUCUCUAGCUUUUAUGCAGACUGUUCUGAAAAGAUUCAAAACUGUGUGGGACCUGCAGUGUUGAUCUGCCUAUUCCAGGUACAGCUUCAAUGAUUUUUAUCUCAGCUUGGAACACAGAGUGUGUUCUGAUACUAAUACUGAUAAAAGCAUAAAGGCUGA